CCUCCACUCAAUCACCGCCGUCCUCUUCUCCACCUCCACCUCCACCUCCGCCGCCGUCGAUUUCCUCCACUCCUACACCGUCACCCCUCCGAUCCAAGACUGGCCCCACCGCCUCUCCCCAAAGCGCCUCAUCUCCCUCAUCACCCGCGAGCCCAAACUCGACGUCUCCCUCCAAAUCUUCCACCACGCCUCCAAUUACCACACCUACCACGCCAUCAUCCGCCGCCUCCUCCGCUCCCGCGCUUUUCACCUCAUCGACCCCCUCCUCUCCGACCUCCGCGCCUCCAAUCUCCGAUGCAGCGAAGACCUCUUCAUCUCCCUAAUCCGCAAUUACGGCGUCGUUUCACGCCCUAAACUCGCCUUCAAGACAUUUAUCACCAUUCCGAAAUUCGGCGCCCAACGAUCCGUGAGGUCCUUGAAUGCG
rnacentral:lncRNA from 1 species